rnacentral:rRNA from 1 species
UGUUCGAAGUCCGGGGAGACUGCCAGGCUUGGGAUCGGGAGAAGUUAGAGGUACUUUCAGGGUAGGGGUGAAAUCCUGUAAUCCUGAAAGGCCCACCAGUGGCGAAGGCGUCUAACUACAACGAAUCCGACGGUAAGGGACGAAGCCCUGGGGCACAAACGGGAUUAGAUACCCCGGUAGUCCGGGGUGUAAACGCUGCGGACUUGGUGGAAGGAAGCCCUCGAGGUUGCCCAGUGCCGGAGAGAAGUUGUUAAGUCCCCUUCCAUGGAGUACGGUCGCAAGACUGAAACUUAAAGGAUAAUCAGGGGAGCACCGCAACGGGUGGAGCGUGCGGUUUAAUUGGAUCAACGCCGG